rnacentral:rRNA from 1 species
UACGUAGGGUGCGAGCGUUGUCCGGAAUUAUUGGGCGUAAAGAGCUCGUAGGCGGCCUGUUACGUCUGCUGUGAAAGCCCGGGGCUCAACUCCGGGUCUGCAGUGGAUACGGGCAGGCUAGAGUCCGGCAGGGGAGACUGGAAUUCCUGGUGUAGCGGUGAAAUGCGCAGAUAUCAGGAGGAACACCGGUGGCGAAGGCGGGUCUCUGGGCCGGUACUGACGCUGAGGAGCGAGAGCGUGGGGAGCGAACAGG